UCCCUCCCCCCUCGGUUCCUUCCUUCCUUUGGUUGGGAGGAGCCUCUCUGGGACUCAACAGGGGGUCGCGUGGGGCUGGUGCUGGAGUUAGGUUCCUCCCGCCCCUUCCCCUGCGUCUCCCAGAGGCAGCCACACUCUGAGACGACUGAACAUCAUCCUGGCGACCUCUUCCUCCUCCUCUGGGUCUCACUGCUGUCCCUAGGCCCAGAAUCCAGAAUCUCACGGUCCAGUAGUGGAAAGAGGUCGGAGGGAGAAGAGCGACAAAAGCCAGUAUUUUAGACAUAGAACUGUUUGAGGAGGCUGGCAAUCCUUUUAAGCUGAAGACAUGUUCCUGUGGAUGCUGAGACAGUUGUGACGCCUGGCCUCACCAGUGCCGCUGUCCCUGAGCCCUGCUGCCCGGGGCUCCGGGCCGGCAGUCUGCUGUUCUGCCCAGUCAAGAGUCUCCUUUGAGCUGGAAGAAUGCCUCUGUGAUUGGGAGUCCGCACCCCCACGCGGCCUUCACCUCCACGGAAGCUUCCUGCAUAGCUGUCCCUCCUGGGCCUUUGAAUUGGUGUGGGUGUCACAGCUUGGGAACACGGGGCUUGACAAAUCCUGUCAGAGGGCCAGGACCUGUCGGGACCCCUCCUUCUGCCGGCCUAUUCCAGUCCCCUCCGCAGGCCCUCGGUGCCCAGAAAGGUCCUGGACGUGCCUGCGAUGCUUCCUAUAAAUAGCAGCCACAUUCCAGCUUCCACAGGAGCACGUGCUGCUAAACACAGACGGGAG